rnacentral:rRNA from 1 species
GCGUGAGGAUGAAGGCCUCGGGUUGUAAACCUCUUUCAGUAGGGAAGAAGCGAAAGUGACGGUACCUACAGAAGAAGCACCGGCUAACUAUGUGCCAGCAGCCGCGGUAAUACAUAGGGUGCAAGCGUUGUCCGGAAUUAUUGGGCGUAAAGAGCUCGUAGGUGGUUCGAUACGUCGGAUGUGAAAAUCAGGGGCUCAACCCCUGACCUGCAUUCGAUACGGUCGAGCUAGAGUUUGGUAGGGGAGACUGGAAUUCCUGGUGUAGCGGUGGAAUGCGCAGAUAUCAGGAGGAACACCGAUGGCGAAGGCAGGUCUCUGGGCCAAUACUGACACUGAGGAGCGAAAGCGUGGGGAGCGAACAGGAUUAGAUACCCUGGUAGUCCACGCCGUAAACGGUGGGCGCUAGUUGUGCGAACCUUCCACGGUUUGUGCGACGCAGCUAACGCAUUAAGCGCCCCGCCUGGGGAGUACGAUCGCAAGAUUAAAACUCAAAGGAAUUGACGGGGCCCCGCACAAGCAGCGGAGCAUGCGGCUUAAUUCGACGCAACGCGAAGAACCUUACCAAGGCUUGACAUAUACAGGAAUACGGCAGAGAUGUCGUAGCCGCAAG